UACGAAGGGGGCUAGCGUUGUUCGGAAUUACUGGGCGUAAAGGGCGCGUAGGCGGCGUGUCAAGUCAGGCGUGAAAGCCCCGGGCUCAACCUGGGAACCGCGCUUGAGACUGGCAUGCUCGAGUUCGGGAGAGGGAUGGUGGAAUUCCCAGUGUAGAGGUGAAAUUCGUAAGAUAUUGGGAAGAACACCGAUGGCGAAGGCCAGCCAUCUGGACCGACACUGACGCUGAGGCGCGAAAGCGUGGGGAGCGAACCGG
rnacentral:rRNA from 1 species